rnacentral:rRNA from 1 species
GACGAAGGAUGCAAGCGUUAUCCGGAUUCAUUGGGUUUAAAGGGAGCGUAGGUGGACUUGUAAGUCAGUGGUGAAAUCUUUGGGCUUAACCCAGAAGCUGCCAUUGAUACUGCAGGUCUAGAGUACAGUUGCCGUUGGCGGAAUAUGACAUGUAGUGGUGAAAUACUUAGAUAUGUCAUAGAACACCGAUUGCGAAGGCAGCUAACGAAGCUGUAACUGACACUGAGGCUCGAAAGUGCGGGGAUCAAACAGG